UACAGAGGGGGCAAGCGUUAUUCGGAAUUAUUGGGCGUAAAGGGCGCGUAGGCGGCUUGGCAAGUGGAUGGUGAAAUCCCUCGGCUUAACCGAGGAACUGCCGUCCAAACUGCUUUGCUUGAGGCCGGGAGAGGCGAGUGGAAUUCCCAGUGUAGCGGUGAAAUGCGUAGAUAUUGGGAAGAACAUCGGUGGCGAAGGCGCUCUGCUGGACCAUAACUGACACUCAGGGACGAAAGCUAGGGGAGCGAAUGGG
rnacentral:rRNA from 1 species